ensembl:rRNA 5S_rRNA 5S ribosomal RNA
UCCUAAAUCCAUACUGCAUUGGCCUAUGAACUUAUCAGAUCUCUUAAACUAAGCAGGGUUGAGCCAGGUCAGUACUUGGUUGGGGACUCUCCAAGGAAAACACAGAAGGCUGCGGAG